CAAUCAAAAAAAGGGGAGUAGAGUCAGAAGUGGCUGCGAAUUAUGGCCGUGGAUUGUUUUGGUAGUUGUCUUCCCUGCGUGAAGCUGAAGUUGUCUCCGAACACCGCUCAACAUGGUUUGCAAGCAACACCCUAAGUAAUAGUUUUUGAGGUAUAUAUUCACAUGGCUACAGGUACUGUGAAGUGGUUUAACGAGUCCAAGGGUUUUGGCUUCAUUUCCCAGGACGAUGGUGGUGCGGACGUGUUCGUUCAUUUCAGUGCAAUUACCGGCUCAGGCUUCAAAACCCUGGCUGAGGGUCAGAAGGUUUCCUUCGAGAUCCAGCAGGGCCCAAAAGGUCCACAGGCUGCUAACGUGGUUGCUGAAU
rnacentral:sRNA from 1 species